UGCCAUCUUUCCCUUUACGGUAGUGGAACGACCUCACUUUCUUUGAUCAUACAUUAUACUGGAGCAAGUACUGGAGAUACUAGAACAUCUUGGACAAUCUGCAACAAAGCAUCAUCAAUAAAUAAGAGACUCAUUCAUUCGCUGUGAAUCAUUGUAAAUUUGGAUUGGAAUAGCGCAGGUAAGAGUUUCCCCUUUCUGCAGCACACGUCCACGUGGAAAAAGGUUUCCCUAUCGGAUACAUUUUUAUCGAAUAAUCUCAUUAUAUUAUAUUUAUAAGUAAAGGCUGCGAAGGAAACCACAUCAAAUCUAUAACCAAUGGACCCAAAAUCUUUUCUUCUAUUCAUAGCUUGUCUGAUGGGCGUCGUCCAUACAGACACUGUAGAUGUCAAAAGCUACGAUUCCAGCAUCGACGAGCAAAAGCAUGGACAAACGCUUUUAUGAUACUUAGAUCUGCAAUACUAGGUAUACUUGCAAAGUAUUGUAACAAUUUAAAUAAAUAAAUCUGGAGUUGUUUAUACA